GAUGAACGCUGGCGGCGUGCCUAAUACAUGCAAGUCGAGCGAACAGACGAGGAGCUUGCUCCUCUGACGUUAGCGGCGGACGGGUGAGUAACACGUGGAUAACCUACCUAUAAGACUGGGAUAACUUCGGGAAACCGGAGCUAAUACCGGAUAAUAUAUUGAACCGCAUGGUUCAAUAGUGAAAUACGGUUUUGCUGUCACUUAUAGCUGGAUCCGCGCCGCAUUAGCUAGUUGGUAAGGUAACGGCUUACCAAGGCAACGAUGCGUAGCCGACCUGAGAGGGUGAUCGGCCACACUGGAGCGGGGACAGGGUCCAGACUCCUGCGGGAGGCAGCAGUAGGGAAUCUUCCGCAAUGGGCGAAAGCCUGACGGAGCGACGCGGCGUGAGUGAUGAAGGUCUUCGGAUCGUAAAACUCUGUUAUGAGGGAAGAACAAAUGUGUAAGUAACUAUGCACGUCUUGACGGUAACUAAUCAGAAAGCCACGGCUAACUACGUG
rnacentral:rRNA from 1 species